CAGCAGAAAAAGUCAAUGCUCGGAUGCAGAUGGCUCAGGAAGAUGGCUUCCCUUUGAUAACGGACAGUGUACCAAGAUCAAUACCAUUUCACCAUCAAACACACCUCUAGCCAGACCUACACAGGUGAACCUAUCUGUAAGCCUGCUACCCCCAGGCCAGACCUACCAGUGUGUAUUUGAUACCACAGCUGUCAGUGCAACAGUUACUGGGGGGAACUUGGUGACAUGUGACACACCCACCAGCUUGCCUACUAUACCAACUGGGGACGAUCACAUCACAAUACCAUUAUCUAUCAAAUCAUUAGCGACAGGAGUCAAGUUUCUAACGACCAACUUCACAUAUUUUGACUGCGGCGCACACUCAGGGUGUGUGUCCUGUACCAGCAGUAGUUGGGUCUGUGACUGGUGUAUAUAUGCUAACACGUGUAUGUAUGUAUUAUAACUGUAGGUGUGUGUCUUGUACCAGCAGUAGUUGGGUCUGUGACUGGUGUAUAUAUGCUAACACGUGUAUGUAUGUAUUAUAACUGUAGGUGUGUGUCUUGUACCAGCAGUAGUUGGGCCUGUGACUGGUGUAUAUAUGCUAA